rnacentral:rRNA from 1 species
UACGGAGGGGGCAAGCGUUGUUCGGAAUUACUGGGCGUAAAGGGCGCGUAGGCGGCGUGACAGGUCAGGCGUGAAAGCCCCGGGCUCAACCUGGGAACUGCGCUUGAUACGGUCAUGCUAGAGGUUGGGAGAGGAGAGUGGAAUUCCCAGUGUAGAGGUGAAAUUCGUAGAUAUUGGGAAGAACACCAGUGGCGAAGGCGGCUCUCUGGCCCAUACCUGACGCUGAGGCGCGAAAGCGUGGGGAGCAAACAGG